rnacentral:rRNA from 1 species
UGAACGCUGGCGGCAUGCCUUACACAUGCAAGUCGAACGGCAGCACGGGUGCUUGCACCUGGUGGCGAGUGGCGAACGGGUGAGUAAUACAUCGGAACAUGUCCUGUAGUGGGGGAUAGCCCGGCGAAAGCCGGAUUAAUACCGCAUACGAUCUACGGAUGAAAGCGGGGGACCUUCGGGCCUCGCGCUAUAGGGUUGGCCGAUGGCUGAUUAGCUAGUUGGUGGGGUAAAGGCCUACCAAGGCGACGAUCAGUAGCUGGUCUGAGAGGACGACCAGCCACACUGGGACUGAGACACGGCCCAGACUCCUACGGGAGGCAGCAGUGGGGAAUUUUGGACAAUGGGCGAAAGCCUGAUCCAGCAAUGCCGCGUGUGUGAAGAAGGCCUUCGGGUUGUAAAGCACUUUUGUCCGGAAAGAAAUCCUUGGCUCUAAUACAGUCGGGGGAUGACGGUACCGGAAGAAUAAGCACCGGCUAACUACGUGCCAGCAGCCGCGGUAAUACGUAGGGUGCGAGCGUUAAUCGGAAUUACUGGGCGUAAAGCGUGCGCAGGCGGUUUGCUAAGACCGAUGUGAAAUCCCCGGGCUCAACCUGGGAACUGCAUUGGUGACUGGCAGGCUAGAGUAUGGCAGAGGGGGGUAGAAUUCCACGUGUAGCAGUGAAAUGCGUAGAGAUGUGGAGGAAUACCGAUGGCGAAGGCAGCCCCCUGGGCCAAUACUGACGCUCAUGCACGAAAGCGUGGGGAGCAAACAGGAUUAGAUACCCUGGUAGUCCACGCCCUAAACGAUGUCAACUAGUUGUUGGGGAUUCAUUUCCUUAGUAACGUAGCUAACGCGUGAAGUUGACCGCCUGGGGAGUACGGUCGCAAGAUUAAAACUCAAAGGAAUUGACGGGGACCCGCACAAGCGGUGGAUGAUGUGGAUUAAUUCGAUGCAACGCGAAAAACCUUACCUACCCUUGACAUGGUCGGAAUCCCGCUGAGAGGUGGGAGUGCUCGAAAGAGAACCGGCGCACAGGUGCUGCAUGGCUGUCGUCAGCUCGUGUCGUGAGGUGUUGGGUUAAGUCCCGCAACGAGCGCAACCCUUGUCCUUAGUUGCUACGCAAGAGCACUCUAAGGAGACUGCCGGUGACAAACCGGAGGAAGGUGGGGAUGACGUCAAGUCCUCAUGGCCCUUAUGGGUAGGGCUUCACACGUCAUACAAUGGUCGGAACAGAGGGUUGCCAACCCGCGAGGGGGAGCUAAUCCCAGAAAACCGAUCGUAGUCCGGAUUGCACUCUGCAACUCGAGUGCAUGAAGCUGGAAUCGCUAGUAAUCGCGGAUCAGCAUGCCGCGGUGAAUACGUUCCCGGGUCUUGUACUCACCGC